GGGCGGGCGGCGGGGGAGAGGGGUGGCGGCCGCAGCCCGGGUAGGGCCAGAAGACCGUUCCACGUUUGCAAACGCGGCCGCACGCCCAGGCCGACCCCUGCCGCCCGAGCUCCGCGCUGCGUCCGCGCCACUCUCCUCGCCGCCCCGAUGGCGUUCCGGGGCUGGAGGCCCCCGCCGCCACCGCUGCUCCUGCUGCUGCUCUGGGUGACCGGGCAGGCAGCGCCCGUGGCGGGCCUGGGCUCCGACGCGGAGCUGCAGAUCGAGCGGCGCUUCGUGCCCGACGAGUGCCCGCGCACCGUGCGCAGCGGCGACUUCGUGCGCUACCACUACGUGGGGACGUUCCCCGACGGCCAGAAGUUCGACUCCAGCUGGUGUGAUCCCCCCCAAUUCAGUGCUUCAUUUUGAUGUACUUCUGACGGAUAUUUGGAAUUCUGAAGACCGGGUUCAGAUUCACACCUAUUUCAAGCCCCCAAGUUGCCCUCGGACCAUCCAGGUGUCUGAUUUUGUGAGGUACCACUACAAUGGGACGUUCCUGGAUGGAACUCUGUUUGAUUCAAGUCACAAUCGCAUGAAAACAUAUGACACGUAUGUGGGAAUAGGCUGGCUGAUUCCUGGAAUGGAUAAAGGGCUGCUGGGGAUGUGUGUGGGUGAGAAGCGCAUCAUCACCAUUCCUCCUUUUCUGGCCUAUGGAGAGGAUGGAGAUGGUAAG
rnacentral:sRNA from 1 species